AUACGUAGGGGGCGAGCGUUGUCCGGAAUGAUUGGGCGUAAAGGGCGCGUAGGCGGCGCGGUAAGUCUGGAGUGAAAGUCCUGCUUUCAAGGUGGGAAUUGCUUUGGAUACUGCCGCGCUUGAGUGCAGGAGAGGUUAUCGGAAUUCCCGGUGUAGCGGUGAAAUGCGUAGAGAUCGGGAGGAACACCAGUGGCGAAGGCGGGUAACUGGACUGCAACUGACGCUGAGGCGCGAAAGUGUGGGGAGCAAACAGGAUUAGAUACCCUGGUAGUCCACACUGUAAACGAUGAAUGCUAGGUGUAAGAGGUAUCGACCCCUUUUGUGCCGGAGUCAACACAAUAAGCAUUCCGCCUGGGGAGUACGGUCGCAAGAUUAAAACUCAAAUGAAUUGACGG
rnacentral:rRNA from 1 species